CUGUUAUGCUGACUUUUAAGAACAGCCUGUAAGAAUUUGCUGCCUUGGCUGGAUGGUGCAAGGGCAGCCUUUAAGCAGCUGAAGCAUUCCCUGAGGAGAGUUUUGGGUCUGCCUGAUGUCUCAGAACUGUUGGAAGCAUCUUUGGUGGGGAGGGCAAAGAAAGGACAAGGUGUGCAGUGACCCUCCUGACAAGGGACUUGCAGUUAAUGGCAUCCCUGCAAGUGAACUUUGUGGGCUGUUCCCCCUGUGGGACAGGUGAUAGUCCCAGCUACAAUGAUGGGAAAAAUGGUUAAAAGAGAGCCCCAAGAGCUGGAAAUCCUCCUGGAGGCUCUUGGCAAACAGAGUUUCCUGAGUUCCCCGUGUAAGAAGGAUAGUGAUAGCUUUUGAGUGCUGGUAGAUCCUUUUAAUAGAUAGCCUUGAGUGUGUCCUUGUUGCACCAGUAGGCCUUGUCCAACUCCCCAUAUUCCUGGAGAUAUUCAUAUUAAAGUUUAAAGUACUCUUCCUAAUCCUUUGUUGGCUUGAGGCUCUCCCCUGCAGGAACUCCAGGAACUCCUGGUGCCGCCUGGGCCGAUGGAUUGGACGCCCCAGCCCCUCCGUUCCUGCCCAGCCACUGGGGCCGUGUCGAGUGGUGGCACUGCCAGCCCUGCAGUGGGAUAUAGCCUGGAAAGUGCACAGAGCUGAGGCAAGGGAUUUAAAGGGACCAACCAAGGGAGGUGAAGAAAGAAGAAAGAAGGGAACUGAGGCAGCAGCCAAGCAGUAUCAAGUUCCUGUGUAAGCAGGUGAAGCCGCGGCAGAGC